UAUUUUGAUAAUUUAUUUUACUAUUAAUUUCUUUUUAGUUCGAUGAUCCCAAUGGUACCAUUGCUAGUAUAUUGGAGCAAGUUAAACAAAUGGGAGUUCAUGUUGACUUUCCUCCGAGUAAAUUGAAACAAGGAUGGGGUGAACAUGUCAUUCUUGUGCUCUCUCAUUUGGCUGAUGAGGCACUUAAAAGAAAUAAUUUCACAUGGAAAAGGUGAUUUA